UACAGAGGGGGCAAGCGUUGUCCGGAAUUAUUGGGCGUAAAGAGCUCGUAGGCGGUUUGUCGCGUCUGUCGUGAAAGCCCACGGCUUAACCGUGGGUCUGCGGUGGAUACGGGCAGACUAGAGGCAGGUAGGGGAGAAUGGAAUUCCCGGUGUAGCGGUGAAAUGCGCAGAUAUCGGGAGGAACACCGGUGGCGAAGGCGGUUCUCUGGGCCUGUACUGACGCUGAGGAGCGAAAGCGUGGGGAGCGAACAGG
rnacentral:rRNA from 1 species